GCUGGCGGCAUGCUUANNCNCGCAAGUCGAACGGUAACAGGCCUUCGGGUGCUGACGAGUGGCGGACGGGUGAGUAAUACAUGGGAAUCUGCCCUAGGGUGGGGGAUAACGUUGGGAAACUAACGCUAAUACCGCAUAACCUCUUCGGAGCAAAGCGGGGGAUCUUCGGACCUCGCGCCAAAGGAUGAGCCCAUGUCUGAUUAGCUAGUUGGUGAGGUAAUGGCUCACCAAGGCUUCGAUCAGUAGCCGGCCUGAGAGGGUGUACGGCCACACUGGGACUGAGACACGGCCCAGACUCCUACGGGAGGCAGCAGUGGGGAAUAUUGGACAAUGGGGGCAACCCUGAUCCAGCAAUGCCGCGUGUGUGAAGAAGGCCUGCGGGUUGUAAAGCACUUUUGUUGAGGAAGAAUGUGUUUAGGUAAAUAGCCUGAACACUUGACGUUACUCAAAGAAUAAGCACCGGCUAACUCCGUGCCAGCAGCCGCGGUAAUACGGAGGGUGCGAGCGNUUAAUCGGAAUUACUGGGCGUAAAGCGUGCGUAGGCGGAUGUUUAAGUCUGUUGUGAAAUCCCCGGGCUCAACCUGGGAAUGGCAUUGGAUACUGGGCAUCUAGAGUGUGGUAGAGGGUAGUGGAAUUUCUGGCGUAGCGGUGAAAUGCGUAGAUAUCAGAAAGAACACCAAUGGCGANNNAACUACCUGGGCCAACACUGACGCUGANNACGAAAGCGUGGGGAGCAAACNGNUUAGAUACCCUGGUAGUCCACGCCCUAAACGAUGUCNACUUGUCGUUGGGAGGGCUAAACCUUUCA
rnacentral:rRNA from 1 species